AGCGCAGGCGGUUUCUUAAGUCUGAUGUGAAAGCCUUCGGCUCAACCGAAGAAGUGCAUCGGAAACUGGGAAACUUGAGUGCAGAAGAGGACAGUGGAACUCCAUGUGUAGCGGUGGAAUGCGUAGAUAUAUGGAAGAACACCAGUGGCGAAGGCGGCUGUCUGGUCUGUAACUGACGCUGAGGCUCGAAAGCAUGGGUAGCAAACA
rnacentral:rRNA from 1 species